rnacentral:rRNA from 1 species
GGAUUAGAUACCCCGGUAGUCCACGCCGUAAACGUUGGGCACUAGGUGUGGGGUCUAUUCAACGGACUCCGUGCCGUAGCUAACGCAUUAAGUGCCCCGCCUGGGGAGUACGGCCGCAAGGCUAAAACUCAAAGGAAUUGACGGGGGCCCGCACAAGCAGCGGAGCAUGUUGCUUAAUUCGAGGCAACGCGAAGAACCUUACCUGGGUUUGACAUGUAGAGAAAAGCCAUAGAGAUAUGGUGUCCUUCGGGUUCGUACACAGGUGGUGCAUGGUUGUCGUCAGCUCGUGUCGUG